UCAAAUCAUUUUUUAAUAUAUAAAAAAUAUAGAUAAAUUAUUUUUCUAUCUAAAUAUUAUCUAAAAAGUACUUACUCAAAAAAAUAUAAAUUUUUAGAUUUAUUUUUUACACUAAAAAAAAUAGAUCCUUUAAUAGCAACCUAAAUGCCCGAAGUCUUACUAUAGUAAAAAUAUUUUUUUUUUUUAAAACUCACUUCUGC
rnacentral:lncRNA from 1 species